rnacentral:lncRNA from 10 species
AAAGAAUAAAAGCAGGCUGCCCGAGCCGGCAGUGGCAAGCUGCUGGGCUUCCCUUCCACAUUGUGGAAGCUUUGUUCUUUUGCUCUUUGCGAUAAAUCUUGCCCCUGCUCACUCUUUGGGUCCACACUGCCUUUAUGAGCUGUAACGCCACGAAGGUCUGCAGCUUCACGAACCCAUCGGGAGGAACGAACAAUUCCAGACGCGCUGCCUUAAGAGCUGUAACACUCACCGCGAAGGUCCGCAGCUUCGCUCCUGAGCCAGCGAGACCACGAACCCACCAGAAGGAAGAAACUCCGAACACAUCCCAACAUCAGAAGAAACAAACUCCAAACACAUCCGAACAUCAGAAGGAACAAACUCCAGACGCGCCACCUUAAGAGCUGUAACACCGCGAGGGUCCGCGGCUUUAUUCUUGAAGUCAGUGAGACCAAGAACCCACCAGUUCCGGACACAAUACUUUUCACACUGCAUGAUGAAGAAAUUUAGCUUUAUUGUUAGGGAUUCCCAACCCACAUAAACUCUGAGGGAAUUCCUGAAGAUUCUGAAAUUGUGAACUGACAAGCCCAUGGAUGUCUACAAAGAGUGAA